rnacentral:rRNA from 1 species
UACGGAGGAUGCGAGCGUUAUCCGGAUUUAUUGGGUUUAAAGGGUGCACAGGCGGCACGGCAAGCCGGCGGUCAAAUCGCGGGGCUCAACCCCGCCCAGCCGUCGGAACUGCCGGGCUAGAGUGGGCGAGAAGUGCGCGGAAUGCGUGGUGUAGCGGUGAAAUGCAUAGAUAUCACGCAGAACUCCGAUUGCGAAGGCAGCGCACCGGCGCCCUACUGACGCUCAGGCACGAAAGCGUGGGUAUCGAACAGG